CCUACGGGAGGCAGCAGUAGGGAAUCUUUCACAAUGGACGAAAGCCUGAUGGAGCAACGCCGCGUGCGUGAUGAAGGCCUUCGGGUUGUAAACUGCUUUUGUAAGCGAGGAAUAUGAGGGUAACUUAUGAAUAAGCAUCGUCUAGCUACGUGCCAGCAGCCGCGGUCAUACGUAGGAUCCGAGCAUUAUCCGGAGUGACUGGGUGUAAAGAGUUGCGUGGGUGGGAUUAUAAGUAGCUAGUGAAAUCGGUUGGCUCAACCAUUUAGACCAUUAGCUAAACUGUUAAGCUUGAGACCAUUAGGGGUAACUGGAAUUUCUAGUGUAGGAGUGAAAUCCGUAGAUAUUAGAAGGAACACCAAUAGCGUAGGCAGGUUGCUGGGACGUUUCUGACACUAAGGCACGAAAGCGUAGGGAGCAAACGGGAUUAGAUACCCGAGUAGUC
rnacentral:rRNA from 1 species